rnacentral:rRNA from 1 species
GGGCGCAGCAGGCGCGAAAACUUUACAAUGCGAGAAAUCGUGAUAAGGGAACCCCGAGUGCCCGUAAAUUCGGGCUGUCCGCCAGUGUAAAUAACUGGUGAAGAAAGGGCCGGGCAAGACCGGUGCCAGCCGCCGCGGUAAUACCGGCGGCUCGAGUGGUGGCCACUAUUACUGGGCUUAAAGCGUCCGUAGCUGGAUUGUUAAGUCUCUUGGGAAAUCCACCGGCUCAACCGAUGGGCGUUCAGGAGAAACUGGCAAUCUAGGGACCGGGAGAGGUGAGAGGUACUCCAGGGGUAGGAGUGAAAUCCUGUAAUCCUUGGGGGACCACCUGUGGCGAAGGCGUCUCACUAGAACGGCUCCGACAGUGAGGGACGAAAGCUGGGGGAGCAAACCGGAUUAGAUACCCGGGUAGUCCCAGCUGUAAACGAUGCGCGUUAGGUGUAUCGGUGACCACGAGUCAUCGAGGUGCCGAAGGGAAACCGUGAAACGU